GACGAACGCUGGCGGCGUGCUUAACACAUGCAAGUCGAACGGAAAGGCCCUGCUUUUGUGGGGUUCUCGAGUGGCGAACGGGUGAGUAACACGUGAGUAACCUGCCCUUGACUUUGGGAUAACUUCAGGAAACUGGGGCUAAUACCGGAUAGGAGCUCCUGCUGCAUGGUGGGGGUUGGAAAGUUUCGGCUGUUGGGGAUGGACUCGCGGCUUAUCAGCUUGUUGGUGGGGUAGUGGCUUACCAAGGCUUUGACGGGUAGCCGGCCUGAGAGGGUGACCGGCCACAUUGGGACUGAGAUACGGCCCAGACUCCUACGGGAGGCAGCAGUGGGGAAUAUUGCACAAUGGGCGGAAGCCUGAUGCAGCAACGCCGCGUGCGGGAUGACGGCCUUCGGGUUGUAAACCGCUUUCGCCUGUGACGAAGCGUGAGUGACGGUAAUGGGUAAAGAAGCACCGGCUAACUACGUG
rnacentral:rRNA from 1 species